GUGAGGAAUAUUGGUCAAUGGGAGAGAUCCUGAACCAGCCAAGCCGCGUGAGGGAAGACGGCCCUAUGGGUUGUAAACCUCUUUUGUCGGAGAACAAAACCCGGGACGUGUCCCGGACUGCGUGUAUCCGAAGAAAAAGCAUCGGCUAACUCCGUGCCAGCAGCCGCGGUAAUACGGAGGAUGCGAGCGUUAUCCGGAUUUAUUGGGUUUAAAGGGUGCGUAGGCGGUCCGUUAAGUCAGCGGUAAAAUUGCGGGGCUCAACCCCGUCGAGCCGUUGAAACUGGCAGACUUGAGUUGGCGAGAAGUACGCGGAAUGCGCGGUGUAGCGGUGAAAUGCAUAGAUAUCGCGCAGAACUCCGAUUGCGAAGGCAGCGUACCGGCGCCAGACUGACGCUGAGGCACGAAAGCGUGGGGAUCGAACAGGAUUAGAAACCCCUGUAGUCC
rnacentral:rRNA from 1 species